GACCCAGUGGCCUAUUUGAUAAGGCACUGGCCUCCUAAGCCAGGGAUUGUGGGUUUAAGUCCCAUUUGUGGUG
rnacentral:tRNA from 1 species